GGAUGUGAGGGCGAUCUGGCUGCGACAUCUGUCACCCCAUUGAUCGCCAGGGUUGAUUCGGCUGAUCUGGCUGGCUAGGCGGGUGUCCCCUUCCUCCCUCACCGCUCCAUGUGCGUCCCUCCCGAAGCUGCGCGCUCGGUCGAAGAGGACGACCUUCCCCGAAUAGAGGAGGACCGGUCUUCGGUCAAGGGUAUACGAGUAGCUGCGCUCCCCUGCUAGAACCUCCAAACAAGCUCUCAAGGUCCAUUGUAGGAGAACGUAGGGUAGUCAAGCUUCCAAGACUCCAGACACAUCCAAAUGAGGCGCUGCAUGUGGCAGUCUGCCUUUCUUUU